rnacentral:lncRNA from 1 species
UUAUUUGGAUACUUAAGUGACCAGACUGGAGGUAAGGUCCCUGGUCGAGCAUUGCUCUCGGGGCGCCAGUCUUAUUGGAUUAAGAGAGCCAAAAUGGCUGUUAGAAUUUGGGGUUAGGGUUCUAUUUAGCCACACGUCCCGUGAAAGUAAAAAUGUCUUUAUUUAUUUACACUCUCUCCUUUUAUCAUUUUAUUAUUAUGGUGUAUGAUUUUAUAUUAU